rnacentral:rRNA from 1 species
AGAAUCAACGCUGGCGGCGUGCCUAACACAUGCAAGUCGAACGAGAAAGGGGAGCAAUCCCUGAGUAAAGUGGCGACCGGGUGAGUAACACGUGACUAACCUACCCUCGAGUGUGGAAUAACAUCGGGAAACCGAUGCUAAUACCGCAUAACAUCGGCGCUUCUCAAGAAGUGACGAUCAAAGGAGCAAUCCGUUUGAGGAGGGGGUCGCGGCUGAUUAGCUAGUUGGCGGGGUAACGGCCCACCAAGGCGAAGAUCGGUAGCCGGCCUGAGAGGGCGCACGGCCACACUGGAACUGAAACACGGUCCAGACUCCUACGGGAGGCAGCAGUGGGGAAUUUUGCGCAAUGGGGGAAACCCUGACGCAGCAACGCCGCGUGGAGGAUGAAGCCCCUUGGGGCGUAAACUCCUUUCGACCAAGACGAUAAUGACGGUACUGGUGGAAGAAGCACCGGCUAACUCUGUGCCAGCAGCCGC